CUUUGCCCGGGUGGGGUGUGUGAGGACUCGCGUCGCUUUACAGUCCGUAUUCAAAAACGCUUUAUUCUCUCAUCACGACUACUUCUAUCGGCCACAGAGAUGACUAGCCAGGUUCUCAAGAGUGUUUCUUUUGUUAAUGAUAAAGAAAUCUCAUGAAUCUGCCACUAGAACCAUAAAACUACCCUUCAAAAACCCAUAGCCUUUUGGAGGUAGUCAGGAUGCAAGCAUAAGUGUUUCCUGCGUUGUGUUUAGUCAAGUUUUGAAAGUGUGGCGGCGGUCCAGGCGUGUCCGGUAUGUGGGAGACGUCCUUUGGUGGCGAUGGGGGAGCUGAGUGAGCGUCCUCGAGGUGGCCGAGAGAGUAAGCAGAUCCUCCCACUUCUGCUGACGUUAGGACGACUGCGCGUGAGUCAAGAACAGCUAGGACACCAUCAGGAGAAUCAAGGAGAUCGACAAUGAAGGGGGCUAUGGCAGAACCUAUUCGGGCACACAUGGAGGACGUGCCCACUGCAAUGUUCCUCACUCCUGUUGGCACAAGCUCGGCGGAGUAGAUGUACGACACAGCAAAGGCUGCUGAGUUGAAGAACUUCCCCACUGUGGCCAGCGUCAUGUUCAACCACACCAUUUCUGUGCAUAGCACAGCAAGGAUGAGGAGGCAAGCAGUACCACAGAUGGUGAACAGCACACAGAGAUUCAAUCGUCUCCCGAACCUGUAAAGAUGGAUAGAGUGAGGAGGAGGGACAGAAAAGACCCACCAAUAGUAGAGCAGCAAGAGGAUGCUGGGGAUGGAUAUGCAGAGCUGAAGGUUCCUCCAAUUGUUGACAAAGUAGGCAAUGCCUGGCAGCAGCAUGAAGCCAACAGCAAAGAAGCACUGGUACAGCAUGCCC